AUUGAACGCUGGCGGCAUGCCUUACACAUGCAAGUCGAACGGUAGCGGGCCUUCGGGUGCCGACGAGUGGCGAACGGGUGAGUAAUGUAUCGGAACGUACCUUUCAGUGGGGGAUAACGUAGCGAAAGUUGCGCUAAUACCGCAUAUUCUGUGAGCAGGAAAGCAGGGGAUCGCAAGACCUUGCGCUGAUUGAGCGGCCGAUAUCAGAUUAGCUAGCUGGUGAGGUAAAGGCUCACCAAGGCGACGAUCUGUAGCGGGUCUGAGAGGAUGAUCCGCCACACUGGGACUGAGACACGGCCCAGACUCCUACGGGAGGCAGCAGUGGGGAAUUUUGGACAAUGGGCGAAAGCCUGAUCCAGCAAUGCCGCGUGCAGGAUGAAGGCCUUCGGGUUGUAAACUGCUUUUGUACGGAACGAAAAGCCCCGGGUUAAUACCCUGGGGUCAUGACGGUACCGUAAGAAUAAGCACCGGCUAACUACGUGCCAGCCGCCGCCGUAAGAC
rnacentral:rRNA from 1 species